rnacentral:rRNA from 1 species
AGAGUUUGAUCAUGGCUCAGAAUCAACGCUGGCGGCGUGCUCAGACAUGCAAGUCGAACGCGAAAUUUCCUUCGGGGAGAAAGUAGAGUGGCGCACGGGUGAGUAACACGUAGGUAAUCUACCUUUGGAUGGGGAAUAACCCAGAGAAAUCUGGGCUAAUACCGCAUAAUGCAGCGGCACCUAAUGGUGACAGUUGUUAAAGCGGGGGAUCGAAAGACCUCGCGUCUAAAGAGGAGCCUGCGGCGGAUUAGCUAGUUGGUAAGGUAAUGGCUUACCAAGGCUACGAUCCGUAACCGGCCUGAGAGGGCGGUCGGUCACACUGACACUGACAUACGGGUCAGACUCCUACGGGAGGCAGCAGUCGGGAAUUUUGGGCAAUGGGCGAAAGCCUGACCCAGCAACGCCGCGUGAAGGAUGAAAUCCCUCGGGAUGUAAACUUCGCAAGAACGGGAAGAAUAAGUAGGGGACAAUACCCCCUAUGAUGACGGUACCGUUUGUAAGCUCCGGCUAACUCCGUGCCAGCAGCCGCGGUAAUACGGGGGGAGCAAGCGUUGUUCGGAUUUACUGGGCGUAAAGGGCGCGUAGGCGGUCAGCACAAGUCAGUUGUGAAAUCUCCGAGCUUAACUCGGAAAGGUCAACUGAUACUGUGCGACUAGAGUGCAGAAGGGGCAACUGGAAUUCUCGGUGUAGCGGUGAAAUGCGUAGAUAUCGAGAGGAACACCUGCGGCGAAGGCGGGUUGCUGGGCUGACACUGACGCUGAGGCGCGAAAGCUAGGGGAGCGAACGGGAUUAGAUACCCCGGUAGUCCUAGCCUUAAACGAUGAAUGCUUGGUGUCUGGGGUUAUAUAGUCCCCGGGUGCCGUCGCUAACGCUUUAAGCAUUCCGCCUGGGGAGUACGGUCGCAAGACUGAAACUCAAAUGAAUUGACGG